UCUCCAGUAGCUCAGUUGGUAGAGCGGGUGGCUGUUAACCAUCAGGUCCGUGGUUCGAAUCCACGCUGGGGAGCCA
rnacentral:tRNA from 2 species